UUCUUCACUCUCUCUCUCUCUCUCUCUCUCUCUCUCUCUCUCUCUCUCUCUCUCUCUUUUCUCUUCAAUG
rnacentral:sRNA from 1 species